rnacentral:rRNA from 1 species
GUCGAGGGGUAACAGGGUAGCAAUAUCGCUGACGACCGGCGCACGGGUGAGUAAUGCAUAUGCAACCUUCCUUUAACUGGGGCAUAGCCCGGAGAAAUCCGGAUUAAUACCCCAUAAGAUCAUAGAGAGGCAUCUUUUAGUGAUUAAAGCUCCGGCGGUUAAAGAUGGGCAUAUGUGCCAUUAGCUUGUUGGUGAGGUAACGGCUCACCAAGGCUACGAUGGUUAGGGGGUCUGAGAGGAUGAUCCCCCACACUGGUACUGAGACACGGACCAGACUCCUACGGGAGGCAGCAGUGAGGAAUAUUGGGCAAUGGGCGCAAGCCUGACCCAGCCAUGCCGCGUGAAGGAUGAAUGCCCUAUGGGUUGUAAACUUCUUUUUUACGGGAAGAAACUCCUGAACGUGUUCGGGAUUGACGGUACCGUAUGAAUAAGCAUCGGCUAACUCCGUGCCAGCAGCCGCGGUAAUACGGAGGAUGCAAGCGUUAUCCGGAUUUAUUGGGUUUAUAGGGUGCGUAGGCGGGAUAAUAAGUCAGUGGUGAAAGCCUGUAGCUUAACUAUAGAAAUGCCAUUGAUACUGUUGUUCUUGAGUACAGUUGAGGUAGGCGGAAUGUGUAAUGUAGCGGUGAAAUGCUUAGAUAUUACACAGAACACCGAUUGCGAAGGCAGCUUACUAAGCUGGUACUGACGCUGAGGCACGAAAGCGUGGGGAGCAAACAGGAUUAGAUACCCUGGUAGUCCACGCUGUAAACGAUGAUCACUCGUUGUUGGCGAUAAACAGUCAGCGACUGAGCUAAAGCAUUAAGUGAUCCACCUGGGGAGUACGGCGGCAACGCUGAAACUCAAAGGAA